UUGGAGGGUGGUUACUGGAUUUAGCGGGCAUGGGCUCCUUUUCGUCCGUGCUCUCUGGUUAAAUCCAGUGCCGUCGCGCUUCUUGUAAGUCUCAGCGAGAGAAUGCGAAGGGGAGAGGCAGGACCAAAGCUGAGGCGAAUCCAGUAGCAUGCCGAUGCGUCUCCAGGUAUGUGACCUCAGAGGAGCUUGAAUGAGAAUGUAAUACCAAGAUAAGUCGACUUUCAAUUCAACUGACUCUUUCCUGCAAGAUCCUUUGCCGCAAUGGGGGAAUUAAGAAGGGAAUAAGCUGGCAAGAAUGAGUCAAACAUUUCCAAGCAAGAUUGUUUUUUUUCCCUUCUUGUUUACUUUAUCCAGACUCUAGCCAAAAAGAUUCAUCUCAAGGAAAUGCCAGACUUUUUCCAAAGUGGCUGCCAUUUUACAUUCCCACGAGCGAUGGGCGAGGGUUCCAGUUUCUCCACAUUCUCAUGGGUGUGAAGUGGUAUCAUUGUGGCGGUUGCCCUUUUCUAAGGACUCAAAGUUUGUAAGAAACUUGCUAGAGGAUGCUCCUUGAGUGCAGAGACAAUGUCUAAGGUGAAUUUGUGUUUUCAAUCCCUGGCGCGCAAAUAGAUACAUGUGUUUCUGCUGCAUUGUUUCCUGAUAAUAUGGCUCGCACAUUAUUCUGACAAUAUUCUUCUAAUUAUUAAUUACAGAUGAAUUACAGAAAACUGCUAUGUUGCAGAACUGUAGACCUGCUAAAUGAAAAUAACCCACUUACUUUACAGAAGCCACAAGGGGUCGCUGCUCUUGGUAUUUUUAGUGUACUUUUGGAUAGGGAAGUAUGCAGUCCCUUAUAAAUGGAAUCAUUGAUUUUGAGUUGUAUUUAUGUAUUUUUACAUUUGCUUAUAAGUUGUACAUGCUUUUUGUUGCUAUUUUUUAUUGUUUUACUGGUGACAUUGAAGUUCUCAAUUUAAUCAUUUGAUUACAUCUUUGCUUCCUUUGAUAACUUCAUAUCCAAUGAUUAAACUUUUUUACUGCUGUUCACAUAAUGAACUGUUGUGAUUACUGCAUAUGUAAAUGAGGAUAUGUCAGCUGUAUUAAAGAUGUUAUUUGUCAAAAGCAUUGACCAGUGCAGAUAUAAUUUAAAAUAAAAUAUCUCUUUUCAGGAAUUAUAUUCUUGGAGAUGUUGGGAAAAGAUUCCUGGGUCUUGGAAGAUAAUUACUAGAAAUAUGCAGGGGAGGAAUAAAAUUGAAGGGUGUUUUUCUUAGAGAACACCAUUUGUCCGAUUUAUCAGGAAUUCGAAGAUUUAUAUAAGGAACAGAAAGCCGCUGAUGGUUGAAAUGGAGCAUUUACUUCUUUGGAUUGAGGACUGUAAUCAAAAACAAAUCCCAGUCAGUUUGGCAUUGAAGUUAGUUGCUGCAUUGAAGGAAAAUGGUAAUUACAAGGACAUGUAUUUACUGCCAGUGAAGGCUGGUUUCAUUGUUUCAGAAGUCAACAUGAAUUGAUUAAUGUUAAGCUACCUGGUGAAGCUACAAGCUCAGAUAAGGAUGCUACUGUGAAAUUUGCACUCAAGAUUCCAAGAAUUACAGGCAGUCCUUGCUUUGCACAGUAGUGAGAGGCUGUACUAUGCAAAAAACUGCAGGAUUUGGAUGGGAUGUAAAUGGAGUUAGAAGAUAAAUAUGAUCCUGGGAAUGUUGACACUGGUGCCAUUCAAGAAAUAGUUCUAGAUAUGCAGGAGGCAGAACGUAGUGAAGGCAAAUAUAAAGUUUUACGUGAGUAAAGCAGUUGUAAAGGAUGAACGUGUCUCAGAAGUCAUGCUGUUGAAAAACUUCACAUUGAAGGAACUUUCAGAGAUGUUUCAUGACAUUGACGGCACAAAGUAUAAAAUUUUGGAAGCUGAUUCAAACUUAGAAAGGAGUAUGACAGUUUGCCAAGGCAGAGAUAAGAUGCACACUCCAUGUUAUAAGUCAUAUAAUGUGAAGAAAGCAAGCACUUUUCAAACUACUUGAUACAUUUUUUAUAAAGAAAUAAAACAUUGUAAUUUUCA